rnacentral:rRNA from 1 species
GUCUGUGGCCUUACCACCACCCUGCAUGCCCAAUCUCAUCUGACCUUGGAAGCUAAGCAGGAUCCAGCCUUGUUAGUAUUUGGAUGGGAGGUAUAGAGCUAUUGUGACAUACU